CAGUAGCCGCGGGAAUACGUAGGUGGCAGGCGUUGUCCGGAAUUAUUGGGCGUAAAGGGCUCGCAGGCGGUUUCUUAAGUCUGAUGUGAAAGCCCCCGGCUCAACCGGGGAGGGUCAUUGGAAACUGGGAAACUUGAGUGCAGAAGAGGAGAGUGGAAUUCCACGUGUAGCGGUGAAAUGCGUAGAGAUGUGGAGGAACACCAGUGGCGAAGGCGACUCUCUGGUCUGUAACUGACGCUGAGGAGCGAAAGCGUGGGAAGCGAACAGGAUUAGAUACCCCCGUAGUCCCUGUCUCUUAUAU
rnacentral:rRNA from 1 species